AAAAACAUCUUCUUUUGAAUAUAAUUUAAGAUUUAAUCUGCUCAAUGAUUUAUUAAAUAGCUGCAGUAAUUUAACUGUACUAAGGUAGCAUAAUCAAUAGUUUUUUAAUUGAAAGCUUGUAUGAAGGAUUGGAUGAAAUAGUAAUUGUCUCAAAUUUAUUAAUAUUAGAAUUUUCUUUUUAGUUAAAAAGCUAAAUUGAAUUUAAAAGACGAGAAGACCCUAUAGAUUUUUAUAAUUUAAUUAAAUAAUAAUGAUAAUAUAAUUUAUAGUUAAUUAAUUAAAUUAUUUAAUUGGGGAAAUUAUUAAAUUUAAUUAAUUUUAAUUUUUAUUAAACAAUAAUUAUUGAAUAAAUGAUCCUAUAUAUAGAUAAAAAGAAUAAAAUACCUUAGGGAUAACAGCGUAAUAUUUUUAGAGAGAUCAUAUUAAUAAAAAUGUUUGCGACCUCGAUGUUGAAUUAAAAUAAAAUUAUAAUGGAGAAGUUAUAAAUUUUUGGUCUGUUC
rnacentral:rRNA from 1 species